GUUUUGGACUUGAAGAUGAUGGGCUCGCAUCUAGUCGAUUCCCUGACUGAUGCUGCGUUGUUACUGGAAAGGACAGAUACAGUCAAGGUGGCAAACAGAGGCUUCUGGAUCACAUUUCCCAUCCUCCUGCCACAUCGGUUGUGCCGGCCGGUGCAGGAUGGUGGGAGUUAAAGUCCAACCACAUCUGGAAGGCCGCAUGUUCUCUCACUUCCUCCAGCUGUGGUUCGGCGUUGCUGACCUUUGAGCCAUGAUGGCUGGGCAGUCCUUUGAAGACCCACUUGCCAAGCCGGGGCUGAGCUGAGCUGAGAGGGUCUGGGAGAAACUUCCUCUGAACGUUCUGACAAACUGGGAAUAUGGACCCAUCGCCUCCAACCUACAUGAUUGCCAACUUAGCCCCUUUGCAUUCGGAGCAGCUCCUGCAGGGCCUGAACCUCCUCCGGCAGCACCAUGAACUCUGUGACAUUGUCCUCCGCGUGGGGGAUGUCAAAAUCCACGCCCACAAGGUGGUGCUGGCAAGCAUCAGCCCCUACUUCAAAGCCAUGUUCAGCGGCAACCUGUCCGAGAAGGAGAACUCGGAGGUGGAGUUCCAGUGCAUUGCAGAGGCCGCCCUGCAGGCCAUCGUGGAGUACGCCUACACGGGGACGGUCUUCAUCUCUCAGGACACCGUGGAGUCGCUCCUGCCUGCCGCCAACCUCUUGCAGAUCAAGCUGGUGCUGAAGGAGUGUUGCACCUUCUUGGAAAGCCAGCUGGACCCGGGGAACUGCAUCGGGAUCUCCCGCUUCGCAGAGACCUACGGCUGCCACGAUCUCUGCUUGGCGGCCAACAAAUACAUCUGCCAGAACUUUGAGGAGGUUUGCCAGACGGAAGAGUUUUUCGAACUGACUCAUUCUGAGCUGGACGAAAUUGUCUCCAACGACUGCUUGAACGUCGUCACCGAGGAGAUGGUCUUCUACGCUCUGGAGUCUUGGAUCAAGUACGAGGCGCAAGAGCGGCAGAAGUACCUGGCCCAGCUCCUGCACUGUGUGCGGCUUCCUCUGCUGAGCGUCAAGUUCCUCACCCGGCUCUACGAAGCCAAUCAUCUCAUCCGCGAUGACCACACCUGUAAGCACCUGCUGAACGAAGCCCUGAAGUACCAUUUCAUGCCUGAGCACAGACUUUCUUAUCAGACGGUUCUGACGACGCGCCCUCGCUGCCCGCCUAAGGUUCUCUGCGCUGUGGGAGGGAAAGCCGGACUCUUUGCUUGCUUGGAAAGUGUGGAAAUGUACUUUCCUCAAAAUGACGCCUGGAUAGGACUGGCACCUCUAAGUGUCCCUCGCUAUGAAUUUGGAAUCUGCGUCCUGAACCAGAAGGUCUACGUGAUCGGAGGAAUAACUCCCAUGUGUCAGGGCAUUGACUGUCGGAAACAUGAAAGCUCCGUGGAAUGCUGGGAUCCCGAUACAAACACCUGGACGACCCUUGAAAGUAUGAAUGACAGCCGGAGCACCCUCGGAGUCGUGGUUCUCUCCCGAGAAAUCUAUGCCCUGGGCGGGUACGAUGGGCAGUCGUACCUCCAGUCAGUGGAAAAGUACAUUCCGAAGGUGAAAGAGUGGCAGCCGGUGGCACCCAUGAGUAAAACCCGGAGCUGCUUUGCAGCCGCCGUUCUGGAUGGCAUGAUCUACGCCAUUGGCGGCUAUGGGCCUGCCCACAUGAACAGCGUGGAGCGUUACGAUCCGAGCAAGGACUCCUGGGAGGCAGUAGCUCCAAUGUCUGAAAAAAGGACAAAUUUUGGCGUCGGGGUCAUGCUGGGCUUCAUCUUCGUGGUCGGGGGGCACAACGGCGUUUCCCACUUGUCCAGCAUUGAGCGAUACGACCCGCACCAAAACCAGUGGACUGUGUGCCGGCCGAUGAAGGAGCCCAGAACAGGCGUUGGUGCUGCCGUUAUUGACACCUACCUUUAUGUUGUGGGCGGACACUCAGGAUCCUCUUACCUGAACACUGUGCAGAAAUACGACCCCAUCUCAGAUACCUGGAUGGACACCGCUGGGAUGAUGUACUGUCGGUGCAAUUUUGGCUUGACUGCCCUUUGAAGAAGGCCCCCUGAGGACUCAAGGGGUACAGUCCGUGCCCAGCCUGUGGAGACCAGAAGCUGCCUUUCUUCCGCCGGGAGAAAGAAACGAUGGCUUUGUUGAAAGUCAGGCAGGAGAGCCCAGCCGAGCCUUGUUCCUGGCUGUUGAUGGUCGGAGAGAAGGCACCAGGAGAAAGGGAGCCCGGCUGUUUGUUUCUCACACGGAUCCGUCCCUGACGUGGAAUGCUGGGUCCUCCGCAGAAGCAGCACUAGAGUGUGGCCUGAGGCCGGCGUAGAUCCUCCCCAACUCAGUAGUUAGACCGCUUCCAUCUCUUUCUCCUCUGCCUGAUGUAGGUAUCCUUGCUAGGGACACGGGUCCCUGGAGCAUGCCGCACAAAGAGACUUUCAUGGUAGCUGUCCGGCUCUGUCUUUGCAUUGAGAAAGCACCGUGGCUUCACAGUUUUUUACGAACCGUUAACUAAAGGGCUGCCUUUCCCUCUCCUUGUCCCCAUUACUCAAGGUGGGACGAUGGGCGGACUUGCUUGUUCCAUAUUCCUGGCACGCGGAAACGCUGCCAAGGCUCCCUCUUCUUCCAGCGGUCAAAUGCUCAGACUAAAACUCCUCGAGAGGUUUGUUUGCAGGUUCAUGUGGAUGGGCGACAGGUCUCCGGAAUUCCCCACAAAUCCACACACCUCUGCUUCAAGCUCAGAGCCUACAUAUAGAAAAACAAAGCUGCAGCUUGAAUAUCCAUCCUAGGAAGUCCUGAAACCCCUCCUCCCCAGAUACUGCCAGAGUCCAGGAGAAUUUUUGAGCAGCUACCCGAUGUAUCGCCUUCUCUCUCUCUCUCUCUCUCUCCCCCGAGGUGUUUCUGAGGGACUUCUCGGUUCUUACUGCGCAGCAAUAAUAACCUGAUGCAACCUUUGCAGUUACCUUUUUUUUACACAUGACGGUGCAUUUAUGGCAUUCUCAUCCUGUUCAUUCCACCAAGGCUGUCUGGGAACAUUCUCACAGUUGUGAAGAACACUAGAAGCUACAAUGACCGCAGGGCACCAAAGCCGAUGCCUUGUUUGGGCCGCUUCAUUUCAGCCAGAGAAGAAGAUGCUUGAUGAAACCGUUAGACAUGCUGGUCUCGGUCCAAGAUGAGUUUGAGGAGGAGUGGACUGAAGACACAAAGGCUUUCCGUAGAGUUCUGGGAUGGAAGGGGGCACCUCUAGGCGCAGAAUAAAGGCUGUGAGACAGAACUGAAUUUUAAAUCGUGCAGAAGGAAAAAUGGCCAUGAAGGAGCUGCCACCUCUGCUGGCGGCAAAGAACCCACCUGACUCUGGCGUGGCCUGCCGUGUCCUCGUGGUCCUUACGGAGCUUUAACUGCCGGAGGUGGGUCGUGAAACUUCUCAGAGCCAAGGACGUUUCUGGAAAGAACAACUCAGUCCUGGCCGUGGCAGAAUGCAGUGUUCCUGAAUGGACCUGCUGGUUCACCACGAUCUAUCCAUGUCUGGUCCACCCAGCGGGGAACCGCGAGCCCCCUCUGCCCUUCCCAGGGUGGCCAGGUGUGAAGAUGACAGCCUCUUGCAGUCUGAUGACACCCAGAGAGCAGUGCUCGGCCCGUCUCGGCAGAGGAAGGCUCGGUUCAUCUUCAAGCAGCAUCAUUUCCCCCACUCUGUUACUCUAGGGCCCAUGGGCUGCCCCGUGAGUCAGUCUUGUCAGUCAGCUGAGCUAACAAAACAGUUGAAUUGAUCCAAGCCCCCCCCCCGCUGCGUGUUUGCGGGCAGGCUUGUUUUGCCUUAAGGAUACGGACUAACUGUGUCCAAGUAAUAAUAAUAACAGUAAUAAGAAUAAAAUUUUAGAAGUUAAUGAAGAGGCUAGGAAACUGUUUAGUUACUCCAGGCUGAGUUAAGACUGAACUCACUCAGGCAGUAGUCAAAGAGAGGGCAUUUCCCGGACGAUCCUUGUGCCUGUUUCCUUGGGGGUUCGGGGUGGGUGGCGGCUUCGUUUUGCUCUUUCCCUGAAAUGCCCAAGCAGGAAAGUUGGACAGGCUGGCCCUAACACUUGAAAGCUGCAAUAAGUGUACUCUAGUUGAACAACAUCCGUGUCUUCUCAUGAUGGCCUUUACGUGCAUUUCCAUCCAGUUCUACUGAAACAUUUGGGGCAAUGUUUUAAUGCUCAAGGAGAAGCACUUUACAUCAUACUGUCUGCUCGUGUUUCCUUUGAUUUUGGGAAAAUAAGGAUUAGAGACACUGCUUUGGGUGCACGUUAGGGACAUAUGUAUGGCCAGGGAUGUGCAUGCGUGCACGCAUGUCCAUUAUCUGUGUGUACAUCAUUACUAUCUGUUUGGGGAAUCGCCUCUGCAUCACAAAAAGUUGUUUCUCAUGCCAGCCUCUCUCAUUUGGUGGGAAGUGUUCUUCAGUCUGUCCUGAAUAUCGUAGCCUUCCGUCCAUCCAUCAAUGGCCAGCCAAGAAACAGAAGGCGGGGUGAGUGUGAGGGGUCUGGCCUAGGCAUGCUGUCGAGAGGGUGCCCGAAAGACAGUUUUUUGAGGAGCUCCGCUGGCAGGCUCCCACCGUGGGGCGUUGCAGCCGAUGGCCCUGGUCUCCCGGACUUGUCCUGUGUCCUCAUUCCUGCCCUCCAGAGAACCCUCUGCCUUCAUGGCUGCUUUGCAAUGCCUUCCCUUUGCGUGGGAACUCCCUCCCUCCCUCCCUCUCCGCUUGCCUUAAGUCCCUCUUGAAUUCAUCACAGAACCAGGUGGGGAGUCCUCUUUUUUGCCUUACCAUAUGCUGCAUUCUCGCCUCCCUGGCCCAGGGCAAUCGUAGGUUUCUGCAGGAUUCCGACACCCACCCCCCCCAAUUAUCUGCCACAGGGUUUUCUGGCCUGCACUGAGAAGGGGUUUUCUCUUGGGUUUCUGCCAGGUGACCAGUCUGGCUUGAGGGAUGUUGGCAGUUCUGCCUUCAUGCCUCCCAGCAGGGCUUCAUUCGUCUCUCUAGCCAC